GUUAGGGUGGCAGAGCUCGGCAAAUGCAAAAGACCUAAGCCCUUUUCACGGAGGUUCAAACCCUCUCCCUAACU
rnacentral:tRNA from 1 species